UAGUCCCUUCUUCUCACUCCUUGCCCGGAAGGAGAGAGUGUCGCCGCUGAGGUAGAUGCGGGGUAGCUCCUCCCUGUCACUCUUCAGGCACCAUGUGCUCCUGGUCCCUCGUGGGCUCGGCUUUCCUCUUCGCGGCUCCCACAGGGGCCUUGGGGUCGAUCAAUGACUAGUUCUGUAGAUGAGCUGAGCUCAGAGAUUGGUGGCAGUGGUGUGACUGAAAGAGACUUCCGGUGGCAUUUGGGGACAAUGAGAAACACAGUGGUGGUACCUGCAAACUCCCUUCUGAAUUCACUGUCUUUCUCACCAUUUCUGAGGGCUGUGGAUUGUUCCUGCAUAGACGAGACCCACCCGCGCUCAAACACCCAGCCAGAGAAGCCACAAGACAAUCUCCGUUGUCCUUGGAAGAAAGCCCGCCCUACCCACUAGGAGGGAGGGAGCCUCUCCUCCC
rnacentral:lncRNA from 1 species